rnacentral:lncRNA from 1 species
UGCUCAUUAUAUUUGUGUGUAAAUGUAGGUACGUACAUAACUGUAUGUAUGAAAAGGCACUGAAAAUAUAGAAGAUUUACCAUUUUCAUAAAAUUUUCUGCCUUCAUGGAAUCAUUUUUAAUCUUCCUUAGUUAGGUCUAAUAAGUGUUUGUAGCUACAAGAGAAAAUGUAAUAUAUAAUCAUCCCUGAGUAUCUGCAGAAGAUUCACAAUCUUGAAUCUUCUUGAAUAUACAAGUCCUUUAUAUAAAAUGUGGUUUAGUAUUUGCAUAUAAUCUACACACAUCCUCCUGUAUACUUUAAAUUAUC